rnacentral:rRNA from 1 species
UACGAAGGGUGCAAGCGUUACUCGGAAUUAUUGGGCGUAAAGGGCUCGUAGGCGGUUUGUCACGUCGGGAGUGAAAACUCAGGGCUCAACCCUGAGCCUGCUUCCGAUACGGGCAGACUAGAGGUAUGCAGGGGAGAACGGAAUUCCUGGUGUAGCGGUGAAAUGCGCAGAUAUCAGGAGGGACACCGGUGGCGAAGGCGGUUCUCUGGGCAUUACCUGACGCUGAGGAGCGAAAGUGUGGGGAGCGAACAGG